UUUUCUCAAAUUUUUAAAUUUUAUUAAAUGAACUGGAUUAGUACCCAGGUAAUUAAUUUUUAUUAAUGCGGGAGUAAAGUUGUUUUUAAACCGAAAAAAUAUUGACUGACUCUAGAUUUUUCUUUGGAACAUGUUUUGGAGAGCCCUCCUUUAUAGUUUUUUUUUGGAUUCAUGUAUGAUUGUUUAUAUUUUUAUAUAAUUUGUGAUGUUUGAAAAUUUGAUUUUUGUUAAAACAGAUAUAUAUUUGAUUUAUAAAAAAUUUUUU
rnacentral:rRNA from 1 species